rnacentral:rRNA from 1 species
CCUACGGGGGGCUGCAGUGAGGAAUAUUGGUCAAUGGGCGCGAGUCUGAACCAGCCAAGUCGCGUGAAGGAUGACUGCCCUAUGGGUUGUAAACUUCUUUUAUAAAGGAAUAAAGUGAGGCACGUGUGCCUUUUUGUAUGUAUCUUAUGAAUAAGGAUCGGCUAACUCCGUGCCAACAGCCGCGGUAAUACGGAGGAUUCGAGCGUUAUCCGGAUUUAUUGGGUUUAAAGGGUGCGUAGAUGGGUUGUUAAGUUAGUUGUGAAAGUUUGCGGCUCAACCGUAAAAUUGCAAUUGAUACUGGCAGUCUUGAGUGCAGUUGAGGUAGGCGGAAUGCAUGGUGUAGCGGUGAAAUGCUUAGAGAUCACGAAGAACACCGAUUGCGAAGGCAGCUUACUAAGCUGCCACUGACAUUGAUGCUCGAAAGUGUGGGUAUCAAACAGGAUUAGAUACCCGGGUAGUC